rnacentral:rRNA from 1 species
UACGUAGGGGGCAAGCGUUGUCCGGAAUCAUUGGGCGUAAAGCGCGUGUAGGCGGCUCGAUAAGUCUGCUGUGAAAGUCCAGGGCUCAACCCUGGGAUGCCGGUGGAUACUGUCGAGCUCGAGUCCGGAAGAGGCGAGUGGAAUUCCUGGUGUAGCGGUGAAAUGCGCAGAUAUCAGGAGGAACACCGAUGGCGAAGGCAGCUCGCUGGGACGGUACUGACGCUGAGACGCGAAAGCGUGGGGAGCAAACAGG